rnacentral:lncRNA from 10 species
UCAAGCUUGGAGAAACUGAAGAUUUGAAACUAGUUAAGAGUUACUUGAGUAUGUGCUCCAGCAAAAAGAAUGAGUGAAUGAAGAGAGAGGAAGAUAUAGUCUAUGGCAGUGUAAAUUUAAUUUACAAAAUUAAUAAAGGAAAGUACAAUGAUGAUGGCUCUACAGUUGAUCUAGAGAACCUAUCUACAGGUCAGAAUAAACCAGAGGAGAGUCACGUCUAGGAAGGAUGUUUGAAAUGUUACAUUAGGAGGCUGACAGCUGUUCCUUCCUGAGGUUUGGAGGUGAGAAUUAUUGACAUAACCCCAGUAUCAUGGAGCACUCCUCUCUGCAAGUGUAAAGUGCUGUGUGUUGUUUGAAGAACACUGCAUGUGCUAUCUUCCUCAGUACUAUUCUGGAGAAAGCAAGAGGACAUCACAGCUUGU